GAUCAUGGCUCAGGAUGAACGCUAGCGACAGGCUUUAACACAUGCAAGUCGAGGGCAGCGCAGUGUAGCAAUACAUGGGCGGCGACCGGCGCACGGGUGCGUAACGCGUAUCCAACCUUCCCGUUACUCAGGGAUAGCCUUCCGAAAGGGAGAUUAAUACCUGAUGGUGUUCAAAUUCCGCAUGUUAUUUGAACUAAAGAUUUAUCGGUAACGGAUGGGGAUGCGUGACAUUAGGUAGAUGGCGGGGUAACGGCCCACCAUGCCUACGAUGUCUAGGGGUUCUGAGAGGAAGGUCCCCCACACUGGAACUGAGACACGGUCCAGACUCCUACGGGAGGCAGCAGUGGGGAAUAUUGGGCAAUGGGCGAAAGCCUGACCCAGCAACGCCGCGUGAAGGAAGAAGGCCUUCGGGUUGUAAACUUCUUUUAGCAGGGACGAAAACGUGACGGUACCUGCAGAAAAAGCAACGGCUAACUACGUG
rnacentral:rRNA from 1 species